rnacentral:rRNA from 1 species
AACGAACGCUGGCGGCAGGCCUAACACAUGCAAGUCGAGCGCCCCGCAAGGGGAGCGACGGACGGGUGAGUAACGCGUGGGAACGUACCUUUUGCUUCGGAAUAGCCUCGGGAAACUGGGAGUAAUACCGAAUGUGCCCUAUGGGGGAAAGAUUUAUCGGCAAAAGAUCGGCCCGCGUUGGAUUAGGUAGUUGGUGGGGUAAUGGCCUACCAAGCCGACGAUCCAUAGCUGGUUUGAGAGGAUGAUCAGCCACACUGGGACUGAGACACGGCCCAGACUCCUACGGGAGGCAGCAGUGGGGAAUCUUAGACAAUGGGCGCAAGCCUGAUCUAGCCAUGCCGCGUGAGCGAUGAAGGCCUUAGGGUUGUAAAGCUCUUUCGUGGGGGAAGAUAAUGACUGUACCCCAAGAAGAAGCCCCGGCUAACUCCGUGCCAGCAGCCGCCGUAAUAC